UUACAUUUUCCCCUACAAAUAUAGUCUGCGGUAAACGUAACGAAAUGUGAAGACAUACUUUUGUUGACUCUGAACCCAACUAAAAUACGUAAAGUAUUCGCUAAUCGUACACAAUUCAUAUUAUGUAAAAUUAUAUAGCAAUACACUAAUAUUGGUUGCUGAGCGUGUUUACUCACAGUUGUAAAAUAUAUCAUUAUUCGCUACUGUCUGCUGUGUCAGCAUUCAACAUCCAAAAAAUACUAUUAUGGUACAUUUGGUGGACUUACCUUGGAUGGAUGUGAUCUAUGCACAUAUUUUUUGCCACUUGAACUUACAGGAUUUGUUUCGCUUGCGAUGCGUUUCAAAAGAACUUUGCCUUCUUGUUGACAAAUAUUUCAUUCCGUGGCAAUCGUUGGACCUUUCUGACUAUGUUUGUAUUGGACCUGCUGCUUUUGGAAACACGUUGGUUCAACCAUGGAUGGACUAGGUUCUCUUUCUAGUCAUGUCAUAAAAGAGAGGCGCUGGACUACUUAGUUUGAUCAUUGAUCAACAUACUAAAAAAAUACAUAUGUGGACUCAUCUGAUCUAUUUGUUGCAUUGCUUCCAAAUAUACAAUUCAACCAUUGAUCUGUUUCUGGAGACCUGUUAUCCACUGAAAACAAUUUUUGGCGAGUUAUUCUGGCAGUUUCUCAUGUAUAAUUUUUUUUCUUUUUCACACAAGGUAUUGGUGCAAUCUUGUAACAACUUGAAAUACGUUAAUCUAAAAAAGAAGAACUGGCUUGACAGUAUUCAACUCAUGUUAUUGUUACACAAGCAUCAUAACUUGGCAGUGUUAGAUCUGAGCAGUUGUAACAAUGACUGGUUGCAUCACGGUUCCAUUGAUAUUUCAAAGUGUGAGAAUCUCACUUCAAUAAAACUACAGAAUUGCACAUGGGUUACUGAACGGUUCUUAUUGAACUUAGCACAAUGCACUAAAUUGCAAAAGGUGAUAUUGGCAGACUGUUAUCAAGUAUCAGAUCAAGCAGUAAUUUCUCUUUGCCAAAACUCUGGAAGAUUGUCACAUAUUUCGUUGGAGAACUUGACCAUCUCGGACCAAACACUUUAUGCAGCAGCACUGUACUGCAAAACCAUACAAGAAUUUUGUCUGAGGAGAUGCUUAAGGAUCACCGAUGCAGGGUUACUAUCACUG